rnacentral:snRNA from 1 species
CAGAAUUUGACGGUAUGUUGAUC